GUUGUCCUGGGGUAAGCAUGUAGGGCGGAACGUAGGUAAAUCCGCGUUCUAUUCAGCCUGAGAUGUGAUGCCGAGCCGAUUGUGGUGAAGUGGAUGAUCCUAUGCUGCCGAGAAAAGCCUCUAGUGAGUGUUGUGGCGGCCCGUACCCUAAACCGACUCAGGUGGUCAGGUAGAGAAUACCAAGGCGAUCGGGUGAACUGUGGUUAAGGAACUCGGCAAAUUGCCCCCGUAACUUCGGGAGAAGGGGGACCUCUGCUGGUGAUGGGCUUUACGUUCUGAGCUGGUGGGGGUCGCAGUGGCCAGGGGGAAGCGACUGUUUACUAAAAACACAGGUCCGUGCGAAGUCGUAAGACGAUGUAUACGGACUGACGCCUGCCCGGUGCCGGAACGUUAAGGGGACCGCUUAGCCAACGCGAGUUGGCGAAGGUGAGAACUUAAGCGCCGGUAAACGGCGGUGGUAACUAUAACCAUCCUAAGGUAGCGAAAUUCCUUGUCGGGUAAGUUCCGACCUGCACGAAUGGCGUAACGACUUCCCCGCUGUCUCAACCACAGACCCGGCGAAAUUGCACUACGAGUAAAGAUGCUCGUUUCGCGCAGCAGGACGGAAAGACCCCGGGACCUUCACUACAGCUUGACAUUGGCGUUUGGAACGUCUUGUGUAGGAUAGGUGGGAGACUGGGAAGCUGUCACGCUAGUGAUGGUGGAGUCAUUGGUGAAAUACCACUCUGGUCGUUUUGAACGUCUAACUCUGGUCCGUGAUCCGGAUCGGGGACAGUGUCUGGUGGGUAGUUUAACUGGGGCGGUUGCCUCCUAAAGAGUAACGGAGGCGCCCAAAGGUUCCCUCAGCCUGGUUGGCAAUCAGGUGUUGAGUGUAAGUGCACAAGGGAGCUUGACUGUGAGACUGACAGGUCGAGCAGGAGCGAAAGCUGGGACUAGUGAUCCGGCAUCGGCGUGUGGAAGCGGUGUCGCUCAACGGCUAAAAGGUACCCCGGGGAUAACAGGCUGAUCUUCCCCAAGAGUCCAUAUCGACGGGAUGGUUUGGCACCUCGAUGUCGGCUCGUCGCAUCCUGGGGCUGGAGUAGUCCCAAGGGUUGGGCUGUUCGCCCAUUAAAGCGGUACGCGAGCUGGGUUUAGAACGUCGCGAGACAGUUCGGUCCCUAUCCGCUGCGCGCGCAGGAGACUUGAAGGGGGCUGUCCCUAGUACGAGAGGACCGGGACGGACGAACCUCUGGUGUGCCAGUUGUACCGCCAGGUGCACGGCUGGUUGGCUACGUUCGGAAGGGAUAACCGCUGAAAGCAUCUAAGCGGGAAGCUCGCCUUGAGAUGAGGUCUCCCACCCCGUGAGGGGGUAAGGCUCCCGGUAGAUCACCGGGUUGAUAGGCCGGAGGUGGAAGCACGGUAACGUGUGGAGCUGACCGGUACUAAUAGGCCGAGGACUUGACCAC
rnacentral:rRNA from 1 species